CUCACCGACGCCCAACUCACAAAGAAGCUCUCCAAAGCCCUUGGGUGAGCUGGGUUCUGAUGUGUUCCCGGAGGAGAGGGAGUGAGAAGGCUGGAGAGAUGGCUGUGGUUAUUAAGAACACCUUGCAGAGGACCAAGUUCAGUUCCUGACACCAAUGUCUGGCAAUUCACAACCACAAGGAACUCCAGCUCCAGGGAAACUGGUCUUCAUGGGAAUUUGCACUCACAGGCAUAUACCUGCCCUACACACAUGAACACAACUGAAGCUGGGUGAGCUGCAAAACUGGAACUUUGUCAGCAGAGAGCCGGUUUGGAGGAGGCGAGAAGGGAAGAAAGGUCAGGAGAGCGUGGUUGAACCUGUACAGAGCCUGUGCAGACUCCUGCUCGGAGCGAG
rnacentral:lncRNA from 1 species